CUGGCUCAGGAUGAACGCUAGCUACAGGCUAACACAUGCAAGUCAGGGGCAGCAGGAAUCUAGCUUGCUAGAUUGCUGGCGACCGGCGCACGGGUGAGUAACGCGUAUCCAACCUUCCCCAUAGUAGAGGAUAGCCCGGCGAAAGUCGGAUUAAUACUCUAUGUUGUAUUUUGAGGACAUCCGACGAAUACCAAAGAUUGAUCGCUAUGGGAUGGGGAUGCGUCUGAUUAGGUGUUGGCGGGGUAACGGCCCACCAAGCCGACGAUCAGUAGGGGUUCUGAGAGGAAGGUCCCCACGGGGGAUUGGUACUGAGACACGGACCAAACUCCUACGGGAGGCAGCAGUGAGGAAUAUUGGUCAAUGGGCGAGAGCCUGAACCAGCCAAGUAGCGUGCAAGGAUGACUGCCCUAUGGGUUGUAAACUGCUUUUAUAGGGGAAUAAAGUGAGGCACGCGUGCCUUUUUGUAUGUACCCUAUGAAUAAGGACCGGCUAAUUCCGUGCCAGCCGCAGC
rnacentral:rRNA from 1 species